GGGUCAAUGAUGAGAUCUUAUAUUGUCUUGAGAGAUGACCACCUAAAAAUCAUGCUCAGUAGGAUUAUGCUGGAGCCC